GGCUUAUGUCAACCUCGGAGCAUUCUAUCUGGUUGGAAUUCCUAUUGCUGCCAUAUUGGGUUUUUGGGUACAAUUAAGAGGAAAAGGCUUGUGGAUUGGAAUACAAGUUGGUGCUAUUGUGCAAUCAAUUAUGCUUUUUCUAAUAACAAGUUUCACAAAUUGGGAAAAACAGGCAACUCAAGCGAGGGAGAGGCUAUUGGAAGGAAGAUCUCAGCAAAUAGUGGAUUAAUGUGAAAUGGGGGAGUUUUUGGGGCGUGAUUAUAGCUUAUUUUGAUUUAAAAAUUUGCGCCAGAUUGUUUGGUACAGCUUCUACUUAUAAUUUAUUAGGCAGAAAUAGUUUAAAUAAACUGAAAAAAACUGACUAUUUAAAAGUUGGGAUAAGAAUGCUUUUAACUUUUAUUUUCUGAUUAUCAGUUUUUAAUUUAAAAAAAGUUUCACCAAA